rnacentral:rRNA from 1 species
UACGUAGGGGGCAAGCGUUAUCCGGAAUUACUGGGUGUAAAGGGUGAGUAGGCGGCAUGGUAAGCCAGAUGUGAAAGCCUUGGGCCUAACCCGAGGAUUGCAUUUGGAACUAUCAAGCUAGAGUACAGGAGAGGAAAGCGGAAUUCCUAGUGUAGCGGUGAAAUGCGUAGAUAUUAGGAAGAACACCAGUGGCGAAGGCGGCUUUCUGGACUGAAACUGACGCUGAGGCACGAAAGCGUGGGGAGCGAACAGG